rnacentral:rRNA from 1 species
AUACGGAGGGUGCAAGCGUUAAUCGGAAUUACUGGGCGUAAAGCGCGCGUAGGCGGCUACUUAAGUCAGAUGUGAAAUCCCCGGGCUCAACCUGGGAACUGCAUCUGAUACUGGGUAGCUAGAGUUUAGGAGAGGGAAGUAGAAUUUCAGGUGUAGCGGUGAAAUGCAUAGAGAUCUGAAGGAAUACCAGUGGCGAAGGCGGCUUCCUGGCCUAAAACUGACGCUGAGGUGCGAAAGCGUGGGUAGCAAACGGGAUUAGAAACCCCUGUAGUCC